UACAGGGGGUGCAAACGUUGCUCGGAAUCAUUGGGCGUAAAGCGCACGUAGGCGGUUCGUUAUGUCGGAUGUGAAAGCCCUUGGCUUAACCGAGGAAGUGCAUCCGAAACUGGCGAGCUAGAGUACGAAAGAGGAUCGCGGAAUUCCCGGUGUAGAGGUGAAAUUCGUAGAUAUCGGGAGGAACACCUGUGGCGAAGGCGGCCACCUGGACGACAACUGACGCUGAGACGCGAAAGCGUGGGGAGCGAACAGGA
rnacentral:rRNA from 1 species